rnacentral:rRNA from 1 species
GCUGGCGGCGUGCUUAACACAUGCAAGUCGAACGAAGAGCGAUGGAAGCUUGCUUCUAUCAAUCUUAGUGGCGAACGGGUGAGUAACGCGUAAUCAACCUGCCCUUCAGAGGGGGACAACAGUUGGAAACGACUGCUAAUACCGCAUACGAUCUAAUCUCGGCAUCGAGGAUAGAUGAAAGGUGGCCUCUACAUGUAAGCUAUCACUGAAGGAGGGGAUUGCGUCUGAUUAGCUAGUUGGAGGGGUAACGGCCCACCAAGGCGAUGAUCAGUAGCCGGUCUGAGAGGAUGAACGGCCACAUUGGGACUGAGACACGGCCCAGACUUCCUACGGGAGGCAGCAGUGGGGAAUCUUCCGCAAUGGACGAAAGUCUGACGGAGCAACGCCGCGUGAGUGAUGACGGCUUCGGGUUGUAAAGCUCUGUUAAUCGGGACGAAAGGCCUUCUUGCGAAUAGUUAGAAGGA